CCUGGUUGAUCCUGCCAGUAGUACAUGCUUGUCUCAAAGAUUAAGCCAUGCAUGUCUCAGUGCAAGCCACAUUAAGGUGAAACCGCGAAUGGCUCAUUACAUCAGUUAUGGUUCCUUAGAUCGUACCCACAUUACUUGGAUAACUGUGGUAAUUCUAGAGCUAAUACAUGCAAAUAGAGUUCCGACCAGAGAUGGAAGGAAUGCUUUUAUUAGAUCAAAACCAAUCGGUGGCGGGCUUGCCUUGCUCACCGUUUGACUUGGUGACUCUGAAUAACUUUGUGCUGAUCGCACGGUCUAGUACCGGCGACGCAUCUUUCAAAUGUCUGCCUUAUCAACUGUCGAUGGUAGUUUCUGCGACUACCAUGGUUGUUACGGGUAACGGGGAAUCAGGGUUCGAUUUCGGAGAGGGAGCCUGAAAAACGGCUACCACAUCCAAGGAAGGCAGCAGGCGCGGAAAUUACCCACUCCCGGCACGGGGAGGUAGUGACGAAAAAUAACGAUACGGGACUCAUCCGAGGCCCCGUAAUCGGAAUGAGUACACUUUAAAUCCUUUAACGAGGAUCUAUUAGAGGGCCAGUCUGGUGCCAGCAGCCGCGAUAAUUCCAGCUCUAAUAGCGUAUAUUAAAGUUGUUGCGGUUAAAAAGCUCGUAGUUGAAUCUGUGUCCCACACUGUCGGUUCACCACUCGCGGUGUUCAACUGGCAUGUCUGUGGGACGUCCUACCGGUGCGCUUAGCCCGUGAAACGGCGGCCCAACUUAAAAACCUACCAAGGUGCUCUUCACCGAGUGUCGAGGUGGGCCGGUACGUUUACUUUGAACAAUUUAGAGUGCUUAAAGCAGUCUCAUUCGCCUGAAUAUUGUGUGCAUGGAAUAAUGGAAUAGGACCUCGGUUCUAUUUUGUUGGUUUUCGGAAUUUCGAGGUAAUGAUUAAUAAGGACAACUGGGGGCAUUCAUAUUGCGACGUUAGAGGUGAAAUUCUUGGAUCGUCGCAAGACGGACAGAAGCAAAAGUUUUGCCAAAUGUGUUUUCAUCAAUCAAGAACGAAAGUUAGAGGUUCGAAGGCGAUAAGAUACCGCCCUAGUUCUAACCAUAAACGAUGCCAGCUAGCGAUCCGCCGAAGUUCCUUCGUUGACUCGGCGGGCAGCUUCCGGGAAACCAAAGCUUUUGGGUUCCGGGGGAAGUAUGGCUGCUGAAACUUAAAGGAAUUGAUGAAAGGGCACUACAAGGAGUGGAGCCUGCGGCUUAACUUGACUCAACACGGGAAACCUCACCAGAUCCAGACACCGGAAGGAUUGACAGAUUGAGAGCCCUUUCUUGAUUUGGUGGAUGGUGGUGCAUGCCCGUUAUUAGUUGGUGGAGUGAUUUGUCUGGUUAAUUCUGAUAACGAACGAGACUCUAGCCUACUAAAUAGACGUACUUUCUGGUAUCGCAAAGACCCUCCGCUUCGGCUUCGGUCGUUGUUGGUUGUGGUUCUCACUACCGGCGUACAAAUAUAUCUUCUUAGAGGGACAGGCGGCAUUUAGUCGCACGAAAUUGAUCAAUAACAGGUCUGUAAUGUUCUUAGAUGUUCUGGGCCGCACGCGCGCUACACUGAAGAGAUCAGCAGGUUUUCCUUGGCCGAAAGGUCCGGGUAAUCCGUUGAAGCCUCUUCGUGCUAGGGAUUGGGGCUUACAAUUCUUCCCCAUGAACGAGGAAUUCCUAGUAAGCGCGAGUCAUAAGCUUGCGUUGAUUAUGUCCCUGCCCUUUGUACACACCGCCCGUCGCUACUACCGAUUGAAUUAUUUAGUAAGGUCUUCGGACCGGUGCGCGGCAGCGUUUCGACAUUGCCGAUGUUGCUGGGAAGAUAACCAAACUUGAUUUUUUAGAGGAAGUAAGACUCUCGAGAGGAGUAACUAUGACUCUCAUUAGUUG
rnacentral:rRNA from 1 species